GACGAACGCUGGCGGCGUGCUUAACACAUGCAAGUCGAACGGAAAGGCCCCUUUGGGGGUACUCGAGUGGCGAACGGGUGCGUAACACGUGAGUAACCUGCCCUUGACUUCGGGAUAACUUCAGGAAACUGGGGCUAAUACCGGAUAGGAAUCCUUGCUGCAUGGUGGGGGUUGGAAAGCUUCGGCGGUUUUGGAUGUACUCGCGGCUUAUUAGCUUGUUGGUGGGGAAGUGGCUUACCAAGGCUUUGACGGGUAGCCGGCCUGCGAGGGCGACCGACCAAAUUGGGACUGAGAUACGGCCCGGACUCCUAAAGGAGGCAGAUGUAGCGAAUAUUACACAAUGGGCGGAAGCAAGAUGCAGCAACGCCGCGGGCGGGAUGACGGCCUUAGGGUUGUAAACCGCUUUCAGAAGGGGCGAAGCUUGUGGUGACGGUACCUGCAGAAGAAGCACCGGCUAACUACGUG
rnacentral:rRNA from 1 species